CGGUGUUCAACUGGCGUGCCCGCGGGACGUCCUGCCGGUGAGCUCAGCCCGCGAGGGCGGCUCAACUUGAAAUCCCAUCGCGGUGCUCUUCAUUGAGUGUCGAGGUGGGCCGGCACGAUUACUUUUGAACAAAUUAGAGUGCUUAAAGCAGGCUAAAAUUUUGCCUGAAUACUGUGUAUAUGGAAUAAUGGAAUAGGACCUCGGUUCUAUUUUGUUGGUUUUCGGAACCCCGAGGUAAUGAUUAAUAGGAACGGAUGGGGGCAUUCGUAUUGCGACGUUAGAGGUGAAAUUCUUGGAUCGUCGCAAGACGGACUAAAGCGAAAGCAUUUGCCAAAAACGCUUUCAUUGAUCAAGAACGAAAGUUAGAGGUUCGAAGGCGAUCAGAUACCGCCCUAGUUCUAACCAUAAACUAUGCCAGCUAGCGAUCCGCCGACGUCCCUCUGAUGACUCGGCGGGCAGCUUCCGGGAAACCAAAGCUUUUGGGUUCCGGGGGAAGUAUGGUUGCAAAGCUGAAACUUAAAGGAAUUGACGGAAGGGCACCACCAGGAGUGGAGCCUGCGGCUUAAUUUGACUCAACACGGGAAACCUCACCAGGCCCAGACACUGGAAGGAUUGACAGAUUGAGAGCUCUUUCUUGAUUCAGUGGGUGGUGGUGCAUGGCCGUUCUUAGUCGGUGGAGCGAUUUGUCAGGUUAAUUCCGAUAACGGACGAGACUCUGACCUGAUAACUAGACGCACUUGCAGCAUCUCAAAGGUCCGCCGGCGGCUGGCUUUGCGCCCGUCGUCGCGCGCGAUUUUUACUGCCGGCGUACAAUAAAUUCUUCUUAGAGGGACAAGUGG
rnacentral:rRNA from 1 species